GACGAACGCUGGCGGCGUGCUUAACACAUGCAAGUCGAACGGAAAGGCCCUGCUUUUGUGGGGUGCUCGAGUGGCGAACGGGUGAGUAACACGUGAGUAACCUGCCCUUGACUGUGGGAUAACUUCAGGAAACUGGGGCUAAUAUCGGAUAGGAGCUCCUGCUGCAUGGUGGGGGUUGGAAAGUUUCGGCGGUUGGGGAUGGACUCGCGGCUUAUCAGCUUGUUGGUGAGGUAGUGGCUUACCAAGGCUUUGACGGGUAGCCGGCCUGAGAGGGUGAACGGCCACAUUGGGACUGAGAUACGGACCAGACUGCUACGGGAGGCAGCAGUGGGAAAUAUUGCACAAUGAGCGGAAGCCUGAUGCAGCAGCGCCGCGUGCGGGAUGACGGCCUUCGGGUUGUAAACCGCUUUGGCCUGUGACGAAGCGUGAGUGACGGUAAUGGGUAAAGAAGCACCGGCUAACUACGUG
rnacentral:rRNA from 1 species